UACGGAGGGUGCAAGCGUUAUCCGGAUUCACUGGGUUUAAAGGGUGCGUAGGUGGGUAGGUAAGUCAGUGGUGAAAUCUUCGAGCUUAACUCGGAAACUGCCAUUGAUACUAUUUAUCUUGAAUACUCUGGAGGUAAGCGGAAUAUGUCAUGUAGCGGUGAAAUGCUUAGAUAUGACAUAGAACACCAAUUGCGAAGGCAGCUGGCUACACAAAUAUUGACACUGAGGCACGAAAGCGUGGGGAUCAAACAGG
rnacentral:rRNA from 1 species